CUAGUUUUUAUCACCGCUCGCCGCGUUAGGAGGAAGUGGAAGCGGGUGCGUUGCUGUCCUGCUGCUCCCUCCUCUUCCGCCUUACCCUACUCUCUCUCUCCCUUCUUAACAUGGAGGUCCGCCGGAGAUUUCCUCCUUUUUCCUCUUCCUCGGCCUCCUCCGCCGGCACCAUCCGCCCUCCUCGGGCGGCGCCUCUAUCUUCCGGCGGCCGCAUUCAGGCCUCCGACGCCCUGCCCAUCCCUAUCCGCCACACUAACCUCCUCUUCUCCCUCCUAUUUAUCUGCUCCAUAUUCUUUCUUAUGCGUCGUUGGCGUGACAAGGUCCGCGAGUCAAUCCCUCUCCACGUCGUCGACCUCUCUGAGCUCAUUUCCAUCGUCUCCGUUGUCGCAUCCCUCAUCUACCUCCUAAGUUUUUUCGGCAUAGCUUUCGUUCAAUCCGUCGUCUCCUCUCACGAAGACGAGGUCGACGAUUUCACACCCGACGGCAGAAUGGCUCCCACUCCGGCCCCUUCGUGUGAUCUGGCUGCGCCGGUACUUGCAGGCCGCGAGGAUGAGGACAUUAUCGCUGCCGUUGUUUCGGGAAAGACGCCAUCCUACUCGCUGGAGUCCGUGAUCGGAGAUUGUCGUCGCGCCGCUGAGAUUAGGCGCGAGGCUAUAAGGAGGAUCUCGGGAAAAGGUCUGGAUGGGCUACCUCUUGAGGGAUUUGAUUACGGGUCGAUUCUUGGGCAGUGCUGCGAGAUGCCGGUAGGUUUUGUUCAGCUUCCUGUGGGGAUCGCCGGGCCGUUAAAACUUGAUGGAAGGGACUACUAUGUUCCUAUGGCAACGACUGAGGGGUGUCUCGUGGCCAGCACUAACAGAGGGUGCAAGGCGAUCUUUGAGUCAGGCGGGGCAGCCAGCGUAGUGCUUAGGGAUGCAAUGACAAGGUCGCCGGUGGUGAGGUUUUUGACCGCAACGAGGGCAGCUGAACUCAAGUUCUUCGUGGAGGAGCCUAGUAAUUUUGACACAAUUUCCGUCGUUUUCAACAGAUCAAGCAGAUUUGCAAGGCUUCAAAGUGUCCAGUGUGCGCUUGCAGGGAGGAAUCUCUAUAUGAGAUUUUCCUGCAGUACUGGAGAUGCAAUGGGGAUGAACAUGGUCUCUAAAGGAGUGCAAAAUGUCUUGGAUUAUCUUCAAAAUGAUUUUCCAGACAUGGAUGUUAUCAGCCUCUCUGGCAACUUCUGUUCGGACAAGAAACCGGCUGCAGUUAAUUGGAUCGAGGGAAGAGGGAAAUCUUUGGUCUGCGAGGCUGUCAUCAAAGAAGAGGUGGUCAAGAAGGUUCUGAAGACGUCUGUGUCUGCACUUGUAGAGGUGAAUACAAUCAAGAACCUUGCUGGUUCGGCCAUAGCUGGAGCCCUUGGAGGCUUCAAUGCUCACGCCAGCAACAUAGUAUCAGCCAUCUUCAUUGCCACCGGACAGGAUCCCGCCCAGAAUGUGGAGAGUUCUCAGUGCAUCACGAUGAUGGAAGCGGUGAAUGAUGGGAAAGAUCUUCACAUUUCUGUUACUAUGCCAUCCAUUGAGGUGGGCACUGUUGGUGGUGGCACCCAGUUAGCAUCUCAGUCAGCUUGCCUUAAUCUCCUUGGGGUGAAAGGCGCAAACACGGAGUCUCCCGGGGCAAAUGCCAGGCUUCUUGCCACCAUUGUUGCAGGCUCUGUGCUUGCUGGUGAGCUCUCUCUCAUGUCUGCCCUUGCAGCCGGUCAGCUUGUGAAGAGCCACAUGAAAUACAAUAGAUCAUGUAGGGAUAUCACCAAAGUUGCUUCCACUUGAUGACAACAGAACACUUUGUAGAUAGCGCUAUUAAAAUAAUACUCUGGAGAGAGUAGACAAGAAACUAAUUGAGAUGCUGCUGAGAGCAGGAAAACAUGAGGAUUGAAAAAGGUUUCAAUUUAUAAGGUGAUUGUGGCAUGGGCUGAAGAGCUUGAUAUCAAGCAAUUAUGGGCAGUGAUUUGUGCGCUAUCUCUAUGUAUUAUUUAAGGGAGAUUUGCAUACAUAUCCCUCAAUUC